rnacentral:lncRNA from 1 species
UCGAACUUCCAGUGUUAAUCAAAUCCAACAAAAUUAAUUGAUCAAUGGCAAAAAACGCACUCCAAAAAAACUAAAUCGUCAAAACAAGCCCCUUCAUAAAUCUGUGCAGCUGAGUAUCGCGACUUUAUAAUAUAUUGAUUGUUUGUUCUAUGAAAGAGCAUGAUAAAAUAAAACAAGUAAUAUAAUUAUUAGAAUAGAUACAGAACUAAUUGAUCUAAUUACUUUUUACCCAGCUUGUAUCUUCUUUCCAGUAACCCUUUUAAGCAAUCUCCUUCCGGUUCAUGUUAAAACUACUUUUCCUAUUUUAAACAUCCGCACAAACCUAUUAAACAAUGCCAAACACCAAAAGCAGUCAGAACCAGAAAUUCCAUCAAAAUGUUUCUUCAAAUUAGCCAAGAUCUUGCCCUUAAACCUUUGACUUCGUUAUUCCAACAUAACCUAAAAUCACAAGUUUGAAAAACAUUUGCAAAAUUAAGAAAGGUUUAGUUACCUAUCCCAUCAUCCAGAGCACAAGGGGAACUUAUCAAGUCAAGCAAAUGAUGAAGGCUCUUUACAUUAAUAUUAUUAACUGCCUAGUUUUUGUACAAUCU